rnacentral:rRNA from 1 species
ACAUGCAAGUCGAGCGGAAACGAGUUAACUGACCCUUCGGGUGACGUUAACGGCGUCGAGCGGCGGACGGGUGAGUAAUGCCUGGGAAAUUGCCCUGAUGUGGGGGAUAACCAUUGGAAACGAUGGCUAAUACCGCAUAAUGCCUUCGGGCCAAAGAGGGGGACCUUCGGGCCUCUCGCGUCAGGAUAUGCCCAGGUGGGAUUAGCUAGUUGGUGAGGUAAUGGCUCACCAAGGCGACGAUCCCUAGCUGGUCUGAGAGGAUGAUCAGCCACACUGGAACUGAGACACGGUCCAGACUCCUACGGGAGGCAGCAGUGGGGAAUAUUGCACAAUGGGCGCAAGCCUGAUGCAGCCAUGCCGCGUGUGUGAAGAAGGCCUUCGGGUUGUAAAGCACUUUCAGCAGUGAGGAAGGCGGGUACGUUAAUAGCGUGCUCGUUUGACGUUAGCUGCAGAAGAAGCACCGGCUAACUCCGUGCCAGCAGCCGCGGUAAUACGGAGGGUGCGAGCGUUAAUCGGAAUUACUGGGCGUAAAGCGCAUGCAGGUGGUUCGUUAAGUCAGAUGUGAAAGCCCGGGGCUCAACCUCGGAACUGCAUUUGAAACUGGCGGACUAGAGUACUGUAGAGGGGGGUAGAAUUUCAGGUGUAGCGGUGAAAUGCGUAGAGAUCUGAAGGAAUACCGGUGGCGAAGGCGGCCCCCUGGACAGAUACUGACACUCAGAUGCGAAAGCGUGGGGAGCAAACAGGGAUUAGAUACCCUGGUAGUCCACGCCGUAAACGAUGUCUACUUGGAGGNUGUGGCCUUGAGCCGUGGCUUUCGGAGCUAACGCGUUAAGUANACCGCCUGGGGGAGUACGGUCGCAA